CAGUCGCCACGGGAAUACGGAGGGCGCGAGCGUUACCCGGAUUUACUGGGCGUAAAGGGCGUGUAGGCGGCCUGGGGCGUCCCAUGUGAAAGGCCACGGCUCAACCGUGGAGGAGCGUGGGAUACGCUCAGGCUAGAGGGUGGGAGAGGGUGGUGGAAUUCCCGGAGUAGCGGUGAAAUGCGCAGAUACCGGGAGGAACGCCGAUGGCGAAGGCAGCCACCUGGUUCACUUCUGACGCUGGGGAGCGAAAGCGUGGGGAGCGAACAGGAUUAGAUACCCCCGUAGUCCCUGUCUCUUAUAA
rnacentral:rRNA from 1 species